CCAAAAGACUAGGACUCUUUCUCUAAUUAGGUGAUAUCUAAUCUAAAUAGUUUGAACUCUAAAUUAGAUUUGAUUUUUUAUCUAUUUAGAUCUAAUAUGGUCCUAAUAUGAUUAGGAUUGAUUGAACUUUAAAUUAGUUUAAAACAGCCAUUUAAUCUAAGAGUCCCAUGAAGACUAAACUUCUUCUUUCCAUGCGCCACAAAAGAGGUCCCACGCCUAAACC
rnacentral:lncRNA from 1 species